rnacentral:rRNA from 1 species
UACGAAGGGGGCUAGCGUUGUUCGGAAUUACUGGGCGUAAAGCGCACGUAGGCGGACUGUUAAGUCAGGGGUGAAAUCCCGGGGCUCAACCCCGGAACUGCCUUUGAUACUGGUAGUCUCGAGUCCGGAAGAGGUGAGUGGAAUUCCGAGUGUAGAGGUGAAAUUCGUAGAUAUUCGGAGGAACACCAGUGGCGAAGGCGGCUCACUGGUCCGGUACUGACGCUGAGGUGCGAAAGCGUGGGGAGCAAACAGG